GAAGGUGUUGCUGACAUGGUAUUUGAAGAGGUAGAGAAUAUAGAGGAUGCAGUUUCUGCUAUUCUAGCUGGAAAAGAUGAAACUUCUGGUAGAGCUGAAAAUGAGGGCGACAAAGAAAGCGAAAUUGAAAAGGUAAUUCUUAAACUUUCAAUGAUGGAUGUUACUAAAAAGAAAGAAGCUGACCGGAAUAAUGCAUUCCAGAAGCUGGAAGGAGAAGCACAAGCUGAACAACUUGCCACAGAAGAAAACCCUAAGUUUGAGGGUGCAGUUUCUGCUAUUCUAGCAGAA
rnacentral:lncRNA from 1 species